CGAUUAAUGGUGUACUGGCUUAUUAUAGAAAUUUUGUAAAUGUUAAACACAGAAAAGUUAUGGACUGCAGCUUUAAAUCUUACUGUGACGUUUCUGCACAGGGAACAUUUUUUUGCUAGGUGACAGUGCAAAUAACUUAUAAUUUUAUGACAGUACAAAUAAAUUUACAGUGCAGUGAGCCAAUGUAUUCUCUGUUAUUGUUAUACACUGAGUUUGAGAGUUUUUGUCUACUCCCAGGUAAUGACACCAUCCCCUGCUAUAUCCCAGAACUCAUUCCAACUAUCCAGCUCUGCUACAGCACUGGAUGAAACCUCCUUAGAUGUAGAGACUGCAGAAUCUGUGAAUUUGGAUGAAUGGCGAGCAUUACGUUCCCAGCAAGACGAAGAAUAUAAUGCUUCCUUGAUGGCAGACCAAGAAAAGGCCAUUGAGGAAAGACGUCAGC